rnacentral:misc_RNA from 1 species
UUAUUUUUACCUAUAAUCUCAGGAUUGACAGCCUUUUGCUAUGAUGACUCAUGACGGUGAGGUUUUGAAUGUGCAUGCUGAUAUAAAUAAAUAAUUAUUGUGGAAAAUUUGAGAAAACAAGAUUCUCAUUGAAUUAAUAAAAAGUUACACAGUACAGCUUAUGUACAAGCAGAACAGAAAAAACGGAAUGUGAACUUCUCUUAAUAGUAGCAUAGCCAAUCUGUAUAAUUGUCUCUCACGCCUAACUAGCUUUGGCUCCUUGACUGUUAUUUUGAUCUAAGAAUUGUUCAUAGGUUUUUUGGACAUUGGAAUAAUUGCCUAUUUUUGCACGACGCAUGAUGGUUGUGCUUGAAUUUUGAAAAUUAGAAAAAGUAGUGGCUUCCCUCCAUCCCCCUUGUCCAAGCGGGCUGGAGCAAGUUUAUGAAGGGCUACCUGAUGUUUAAAGAUUUAAUAGGAUUUUGUUGCUAAAUAGGUGGAUUUUUCUUGCUUUGUCCUGUUUUAGGAAAAGAUGAUGCACCAACGCCGAGUAAUUUGUUUUAUCUCUCUUACAGAAUGCUUGUAUAUAAUAUUUACAAGUGUAAGGAUAACAUAUAUUUCCCUUGAAGAAGAAUGGGAUUGUGGAUGGCCGAAGUUAAAUUGGUGGUGUGAAUUUCUAAAAUGAAAUCUUCUAAGGAUUUUGUUCUCGUUGCAGAGCUUAAGGUCACGCACAAGCAUAUAGAUCAUCGCCCCAUUUACAAUCACACUCUUGCAACAAUAUUGGUGGAAUAUGCUUCUGCUGUAUAUAUGUCAGAUUUGACAGAACUGUUUACUUGGACAUGCUCAAGAUGUAAUGAUUUGACUGAGGGAUUUGAGAUUAUAGAGCUGAUUAUUGACAUUCAGCACUGCUUACAGGCAUUUGUUGGUGUGGCAAAGAAUCUUAAUGCUGUAGUUAUUGCAUUUCGAGGAACUCAGGAACACAGCAUACAGAAUUGGAUUGAAGACUUAUUCUGGAAACAGCUUGAUCUAAAUUAUCCUGGCAUGCCUGAUGCAAUGGUGCAUCAUGGAUUUUAUUCUGCUUAUCAUAACACAACAUUACGCCCUGGAAUUCUAAAUGCAGUCAAAAGAGCAAAGGAGUAUUAUGGAGAUCUUGACAUCAUGGUGACAGGGCAUUCAAUGGGAGGGGCUAUGGCUGCCUUUUGUGGACUUGAUCUAACUGUUAACCACAAAGCCAAAAAUGUGAUGGUUAUGACAUUUGGACAGCCUCGUAUUGGAAAUGCAGAUUUUGUAUCUUAUUAUAGCCGACUUGUGCCAAAUACAAUCCGAGUAACAAAUGGCCAUGAUAUUGUGCCUCAUUUGCCUCCAUAUUACAGUUACUUCCCUCAAAAGACGUACCAUCACUUCCCAAGAGAGGUGUGGCUGUAUAACAUUGGAUUAGGAAGUCUGGUCUACAGAGUAGAGAAGGUAUGUGAUGUUACCGGCGAAGAUCCUACCUGCAGCAGGUCAGUAAGCGGGACCAGCAUUUCAGAUCAUUUAAUUUAUUAUGGUAUUGAUUUAAGGGGAAAGGCAUUGAAUUCUUGUGGAAUUGUAAUGGAUUCUCGUGUAAAGGAAUAUGGCAGAACAGAUAUCCAAGGAAAUUUUAAAUUGUCUAGAGAUCCUGCUUCACCUAUUCUUAAACUGAAAACAGACGUGAAGUCUGGAGGCAAUCAUGGUUAGAAUAUUAUUUGGGUCGGGGCAAGAUUUUCACGUUGAUUUUCUCCCCAACCAAGUUAAUCUUCAUUGUCUCUUUGGCACUUUUCCUUAGGAGGUUUGGAUGGAGAAUGUUGUUGUCCAGGGUAGGGAGGAAACGUGUAUAGAGAAAUUGACUUCUGUACAUUUUAAGCCUUGUUAAUAUCAUAUGAAUACAGAUAACCAUAUUGUUUCAACUAUUUUUAGUGAGAUAUUCCACAUAUACCGUUGUAAGUUCAGAAAAUCUGUGAAUUGUUGGAGUGAUCACUUCAUAUGUACUCCUGGACUUGUGGAAACGAUGAGUUAGGUUCUCAAAUUAAUGUAUCUGAUAUAAUUAUGCCCAAUGAACCAAUGUGUUAGAAUUGCAUAUGGGUUUUUUAUGCGAGACUUUUG